rnacentral:rRNA from 1 species
GAUGAACGCUGGCGGCGUGCCUAAUACAUGCAAGUCGAGCGAACAGACGAGGAGCUUGCUCCUCUGACGUUAGCGGCGGACGGGUGAGUAACACGUGGAUAACCUACCUAUAAGACUGGGAUAACUUCGGGAAACCGGAGCUAAUACCGGAUAAUAUAUUGAACCGCAUGGUUCAAUAGUGAAAGACGGUUUUGCUGUCACUUAUAGAUGGAUCCGCGCCGCAUUAGCUAGUUGGUAAGGUAACGGCUUACCAAGGCAACGAUGCGUAGCCGACCUGAGAGGGUGAUCGGCCACACCGGAACUGAGACACGGUCCAGACUCCUACGGGAGGCAGCAGUAGGGAAUCUUCCGCAAUGGGCGAAAGCUUGACGGGGCAACGCCGCGUGAGUGAUGAAGGUCUUCGGAUCGUAAAACUCUGUUAUUAGGGAAGAACAAAUGUGUAAGUAACUAUGCACGUCUUGACGGUACCUAAUCAGAAAGCCACGGCUAACUACGUG